rnacentral:lncRNA from 1 species
UGCCCUCCUGCUACUGCUGCUGACCCCUCCGAUUGGCUACUGCGAUUCGAUUGUCUUGUGCAUCUGAUUCAAAUGUGAUUGGUUUGCUGUGUGGAGCAUUCGAACCCUUGAUUUGAUAUCUUGUAGGUGAGUGAGACUCUUGUAGGCGUGUCCGCGGGGAAUGGUUAGGGGGUGUGGUUGAUUAUCUCUUGUACCGUGUUGUGUUCUAUGGAUAAUAAACGAUUGUGUUGUGUUGCUGUUCAUUGAAUAAUCAAUCAUUCAGUCUGUUUGCUCCAUGUUGCACUAGUAUAUGGAGUCUGCGACUACUGAAACCUGAAGUUGGAUUCGGGUGCUAUAUAUGCCUAUGCCCGCAUUCCAGUUUACACUGAGUCUUGUCGAAACUUUUCAAUUCUUCAUUGUAGUUUUCUACUUUUAUUUAGACAGUAGGCAGCACCCAUCUUUUCAUUCAUAAUCUUUUCAUUACAAGCAUUGGUCCUCAUAGCUUCAGGUUCCUCUUUGUACCAGCAGCAUUGAUCAUAUUCUGCAGAUUUUGAAAGAACAUGAGCUGGACCAUUGCUACAACAUUUUACAUGAAUAAAAAUUAUUACUAGAUAAAAACAUCGAGGCUCUAUUCUUGGUACUAUCUUGGACAUUGGCGCCUGUAGAUGAUCUGUCAAACUCACUUUGCACCUUAUUUAUCAGAGAUAGGGGGGUGGUCUGAACUACCUACCUCUGAAAACUCUUAACUACAACAUUUAUCUUAUGAAAACCUGAACUCAUGCUAAAAGACCUGGCGCGAUGCAAGGGCUUCAGCCACUUCUGGGAUCCCAACAUGGUGAAUGGCAGCCUGAUUCGCUGCCUGCACUGAUCCAUGAACAAGGGCGCCUAGACCAGCUUGUUCAGACUUCAGAGUGGGCAAAAGUCGCCGCAUCAACAUUUAUCUGCGACACAUCUUCCUGUGGCGGAGACCAUUUUCUUUUUGAUGAUGAGGUAUUGAGGUCAUGCCAGGCUUUGAUUUUACCCACAAUACAGCUCGCUAUUACUGGAGCUGUUCCUGUUUCCCCAAAUACCGCGUUGUAUAGUUGUUGCCAGUGCCAUAUAUAUCAUGGAAAUCUGAAGCUUCGCCAGUUCAGAAUUUCAGCCCAAUAUCCAUGGCCUGAUAUCAACAAAGCUUGUUAGCUUUAGGCAAAUACCAUAUUCAUAUUUAUUUAUUUCCACCCAUAGCUCUUGGACAUAUUGUCACUGUAAAAAAGAAAAGCAACGAUCCACAUCUUCCUUACAAUUACAAUUACAGCCGUACCUUGUGGGAACUGAUCUCAGUUGGAGUUGAGAACCUUGCGGGCAGACAAUUAUGGGCCAGCCUCCAAAGCACCACCUUCAUCUUGUUAGGAACUGAAUUUUCACCCAUGGCUUCUCCAUAGUCUUCAGGUGGGACGAGAUACCCUUCCCUGAGGAACAACGUUCAGACCGGAAAAAAAGUGUCUUCAGCCCAGGUUGUAAGCCUGAUAAAAUCCCAAGCUUUCCUGUAAGUUUAGAUGGUAGCAGUCGCCUCCCCUCUUGGCCUCUUUCUUCUUUGUAGUUUAGAAGCUGGCGUCUAGAGGUCCGUGGCCUAGUUUUUAUUUUUAUUUUGAUAUGAGGCAAAAGAUUUGCCAUUUUCAUCGAUUAAGAGAGAAGUUUUAGAGGUUAAGGUCCAAGGCCGAACUACAACAACCUCUCAUGUGGCAUUACGUUACUCAAGUGCCUUGCUCCUGCAAUACUCCAAAGAUAGGUCUCCUCUUUAAUCCUAGCAACGAUGACUCCCACCGAAACGGCAUUAUUACGGAAGAUCCGUCCAUUCCUCUCUUUCCACAACCCCCCAAGAGAUAAGCAACAUCAAGGAAGCAAGUAGCCCUCGCGAUUGGGUCUUCUUGGUAGCAUUGUGGCUCCACCUCUCUUUAGCGGAAGCCGCGUCACCCCGGUCGAAGGAUGCACUUCAUGGUGACCAAGACAAUCUUUGAUCAUGUGCCAAAGUCUGAAUGGGUGGACCUGCUUGCACGGGGAACAAAGGUUAUAGUUUGGCGAGGCCACGAUGAUGAAGCUUGUCUGCUGUCCAAUCCUAUUUGUUGAUUGCCAUCCAUGCGAAGAACUUGUAUUUAGAAGGUGCCCAAAUCUUCCAAACAGUCGGGAUCAUGGCCCUGUCAGCCUGGCCAAAGAAUUGCACCUUGUAUGUCGACGCUGCCGAGUAGUGUCCGCCAGUAGUGAACUUCCAAGUGAUAGUGUCAGGCUUGUCAAUAUUAAGGUGGACAUGGGAGAGCCUCUCCCAAAGGUUGACAAACUCAAAGAUGUGUUCGACGGGGAUGCCUUGAAGAAUGUCCACCUAGGAAGUCAAGUAGUUGUCGUGUAAAGCCAUUUGAACCAAGCAAUUUUCUUCUUCGACAAAUCAUAGAUUUUUGGAGCCACAUCUUUGGGCCUAAUCCCAUUGAGCAAAGGUGACUCCCAGUACUUGGCACACAUGCCAUACCCAACUUGGACCUUGGUAGCCGCGACAAAGAUAUCUCGGCCAUUGGCAUCACAAGGAGUUCCCAAACCAAACCAUGGCUUGUACGGGUGAAGCCACUCAGCCCACAAGCACCAGAGGCGAAGGGGAAUGGAAAACUUGUCAAGAUUUAGGAUUCGAAGGCCUCCAUGCAGGUUGGACUUGCACACUUGCUUCCAAUUUAGCUUGCAUUUUCCACCUAUGACCUUAUCACAGCCUGCCCAAAGGAAAGCACGUCUGAGCGCAUCGAUCUUCUUCUUGACCUCCACCGGUAAAUCUAACACCGUCAUGUAGUAGAUAGUAAUCGCCAUGAGGAUCGACUUGACCAAGACCGCAUGACCCGUUGAGGCAAUAUGCCUUCCCACCCAAGGAGUGAACUGACUAUUGUCCUCAAGGGGCUUGUAGUGAAUUCUCUUCAAUCUCUUGACAAAGGCAAACCAAGGUAUAUUCGUCGGAAAGGAGGAAUACUUGGCAAGUCAGGACUAGAGGAUGUCCGGAAGAUCAACAUUUUCGGAACGGAUUGGGGCCACAAAACUUUUGGAACAAUUUGUGAAAAGGCUAGCGACACCCCCAAAGUGCUUGAGAGUGCUCGUGAAGAACUGGACGUCCUCCUUAAUGGGUGCAAGAAAAACAACAGCGUCGUCCGUGUAAAGCGAAGUAUGGAUACACAUAGCAUUUCCACCAAGGGGAUGAAGGUUUCUCUGAGCCGUGGCCUUCACAUGAAUGUGAGGAUGAAUAGCAGGAGGUAGAUGCUCCCAUGCCUCAACCCACAACCAAGCUUGGUGGAAUCGUCAGGCACGCCAUUGAGCAGAAUGCGCGACGAAGCCGAGGGCAGCAGUGUCAAAACCCAACCUAUGAAGUGAAGUGGGAAACCAAGGUGUCAAGGCAGUUCGAGGAGAAAAGACCACCGAACCGAGUCGAAGGCUUUUUUUAAUGUCAAGUUUGAAGAGACGCUAGGGUUUCCCAAUGGUAGAAGCGUCUCGCGAGAUUGCGCACAUACAUGAAAUUGUCGUGGAUGCAUCUUUUUUUUAAUGAAUGCAUGUUUGGCGUGUGAGAAGAGCUCAUUCAUGUGCGAGGUAAGUCGGUUGGACAUCAUUUUAGCAAUUAGCUUAGCGACGACAUGGAUAAGAUGAAAGAAAUAUGCCCUAGAGGCAAUAAUAAAGUUUUUAUUUAUAUUUCCUUAUAUCAUGAUAAAUGUUUAUUAUUCAUGCUAGAAUUGUAUUAACCGGAAACUCAGUACAUGUAUGAAUACAUAGACAAACAAGAGUGUCACUAGUAUGCCUCUACUUGACUGGCCCGUUAAUCAAAGAUGGUGAAGUUUCCUAGCCAUAGACAUGAGUUGUCAUUUGAUGAACGGGAUCACAUCAUUAGAGAAUGAUGUGAUUGACAAGACCCAUCUAUUAGCUUAGCACUAUGAUCGUUUAAUUUGUUGCUAUUGCUUUCUUCAUGACUUAUACAUGUUCCUAUGACUAUGAGAUUAUGCAACUCUCGAAUACCGGAGGAACACUUAGUGUGCUAUCAAACGUCAUAACGUAACUGGGUGAUUAUAAAGAUGCUCUAUAGGUGUCUCCGAUGGUGUUUUUUGAGUUGGCAUAGAUCGAGAAUAGGAUUUGUCACUCCGAUUGUCGGAGAGGUAUCUCUGGGCCCUCUCGGUAAUGCACAUCACGAAUAGCCUUGCAAGCAAUGUAACUAAUGAGUUAAUUGUGGGAUGAUGCACUAUGGAACGAGUAAAGAGACUUGUCGGUAACGAGAUUGAACUAGGUGUGAUGAUAUCGACGAUCGAAUCUCAGGCAAGUAACAUACCGAUGACAAAGGGAACAACGUAUGUUGUUGUGCGGUUUGACCGAUAAAGAUCUUCGUAGAAUAUGUAGGAACCAAUAUUAGCAUCCAGGUUCUGCUAUUGGUUAUUGACCGGAGAUGAGUCUCGGUCAUGUCUACAUAGUUCUUGAACCCGUAGGGUCCGCACGCUUAACAUUCAAUGAUGAUAUGUAUUAUGAGUUUUGUGAUUUGAUGUACCGACGGUUGUUCGCAGUCCCGGAUGUGAUCACGGACAUGACGAGGAGUCUCAAAAUGGUCGAGACAUGAAUAUUGAUAUAUUGGAAGGUUAUGUUUGGACACCUGAAUGGUUUUGGAUGAGUUCGGGCAUUUUUCGGAGUACCGGGGGGUUACCGGAACCCCCCGGGGAUUUAAUGGGCCUUAAUGGGNNNNNNNNNNNNNNNNNNNNNNNNNNNNNNNNNNNNNNNNNNNNNNNNNNNNNNNNNNNNNNNNNNNNNNNNNNNNNNNNNNNNNNNNNNNNNNNNNNNNNNNNNNNNNNNNNNNNNNNNNNNNNNNNNNNNNNNNNNNNNNNNNNNNNNNNNNNNNNNNNNNNNNNNNNNNNNNNNNNNNNNNNNNNNNNNNNNNNNNNNNNNNNNNNNNNNNNNNNNNNNNNNNNNNNNNNNNNNNNNNNNGUUGGACUAGGAAAGGGGGGGAACCUACUCCUAGUAGGAGUAGGAAUCCCCCCUUGGGGCGCGCCAUAGGAGGCCGCCCCCCCCCUCCUCCACUCCUUUAUAUAGGGGGAUGGGGGCACCCCAUAGACACACAAGUUGAUUUUAGUCGUGUGCGGUGCCCCCUCCACAGAUUUCCACCUCGGUCAUAUUGUCGUAGUGCUUAGGCGAAGCCCUGCAUCGGUAACUUCAUCAUCACCGUCACCACGCCGUCGUGCUGACGAAACUCUCCCUCGGCCUUAGCUGGAUCUAGAGUUUGUGGGACGUCACCAAGCUGAACGUGUGCAGAUCGUGGAGGUGCCGUACGUUCGGUACUUGAUCGGUUGGAUCGCGAAGACGUUCAACUACAUCAACCGCGUUUAACGCUUCCGCUUUCGGUCUACGAGGGUACGUGGACACACUCUCCCCGCUCGUUGCUAUGCAUCUCCUAGAUAGAUCUUGCGUGAUUGUAGGAAUUUUUUUUGAAAUACUGCAUUCCCCAACAAUGGUAUCCGAGCUAGGUCUAUGCGUAGAUGUUAUAUGCACGAGUAGAACACAAAGAGUUGUGUGCGAUAAUAGUCAUACUGCUUACUAGCAUGUCAUAAUUUGAUUCGGCGGUAUUGUUGGAUGAAGCGGCCCAAACCGACAUUGCAUGACUGCGUUCAUGAGACUAGUUCUACCUCCGUGCUUCGCACACAAGUGGCUAGUGGGUGUCUAUUUCUUCAACUUUAGUUGAAUCGAGUGUGACUACGCUCGGUAUUUGUUGAAGGUUAAAACAACACACUUGAUGAAAAAUCAUUGUGGUUUUGAUGCGUAGGUAAGAAUGGUUAUUGCUAAGCCUGUAGCAGCCACGUAAAACUUGCAACAACAAAGUAGAGGACGUCUAACUUGUUUUUGCAGGGUUUGCUGUGAUGUGAUAUGGUCAAGACGUGAUGAUAUAUAAUUUGUUGUAUGAGAUGAUGAUGUUUUGUAACAGUUAUAGGCAACUGGCAGGAGCCAUAUGGUUGUCGCUUUAUUGUAUCAAAUGCAAUCACCAUGUAAUUGGCUUACUUUAUCACUAAGCGGUAGCGAUAGUCGUAGAAGCAAUAGUUGGCGAGACGACAACAAUGCUUCGAUGGAGAUCAAGAUGUCAAGCCGGUGACGAUGGUGAUCAUGACGGUGCUUUGGAGAUGGAGAUCAAAGGCACAAGAUGAUGAUGGCCAUAUCAUAUCACUUAUAUUGAUUGCAUGUGAUGUUUAUCCUUUAUGCAUCUUAUUUUGCUUAGUUCGGCGGUAGCAUUAUAACAUGAUCUCUCACUAAAUUUCAAGGUAUAAGUGUUCUCCCUGAGUAUGCACCGCUGCGAUAGUUCGUUGUGCCGAGACACCACAUGAUGAUCGGGUGUGAUAAGCUCUACGUUUACAUACAACGGGUGCAAGCCAGUUUUGCACACGCAGAAUACUCGGGUUAAACUUGACGGGCCUAGCAUUGAAGGAAAUAUGCCCUAGAGGCAAUAAUAAAGUUGUUAUUUAUAUUUCCUUAUAUCAUGAUAAAUGUUUAUUAUUCAUGCUAGAAUUGUAUUGACCGGAAACUGAGUACAUGUGUGAAUACAUAGAGAAACAGAGUGUCACUAGUAUGCCUCUACUUGACUAGCUCGUUGAAUCAAAGAUGGUUAAGUUUUCUAGCCAUAGACAUGAGUUGUCAUUUGAUUAAUGGGAUCACAUCAUUAGAGAAUGAUGUGAGUGACUUGACCCAUCCGUUAGCUUAGCACGAUGAUCGUUUAAUUUGUUGCUAUUCUUUGUUCAUGACUUAUACAUGUUCAUAUGACUAUGAGAUUAUGUGUGAUAGCCUGGCUUAUUAGGGAUGAUAGACUACUCAUAUCAAUAAGGAAUUCCUUCUUUUCCGGGAGCCCAUUCGGAUAGAAUUCCAAAGUUAAGCGUGCUCAGCUUGGAGUAGUGUCAGGAUGGGUGACCGAUCGGGAAGUUGCUCCCGGGUGCGCAUGAGUGAGGACAAAGUGCGUAGAAAAGACUAGUAUUGAUCUGUGGGGCCAGUCUAGAUCCCGCCAGGAGUAACGACCACCGGCGGGUGUGUCCGGGGCGUUACAUUAUGCAACUCCCGAAUACCGGAGGAACACUUAGUGUGCCAUCAAACGUCACAACGUAACUGGGUGAUUAUAAAGAUGCUCUACAGGUGUCUCCGAUGGUGUUUGUUGAGUUGGCAUAGAUCGAGAUUAGGAUCUCAGCUAUUGUGUUCCUCCUGGCCAACCGCAUCUCGCUCGAGCAGCUCAUCCAGCCCAUCGCCAACGGCGCCACCGUGCUCUCCCUGGACACCGACUUUGAUGGCUGUAUGCGGCUCAUCAGGGAGGUGACCGCUAAGUUGCCCAUUUACCUUGCCAAUUCGCUCAACUCUCUCAGGCUCGAGGGGCAGAAGACAGCAGCCAUUGAGAUACUGCAGCAGUUUGAUUGGGAGGUCCCCGAUUGGGUCAUUGUCCCAGGAGGCAAGCUCAGAAACAUAUAUGCAUUCUACAAGGGAUUCGAGAUGUGCCAUGUUCUUGGUCUGGUUUAUCGUCUGCCUCGGCGUGUCUGCGCACAGCCUGCCAAUGCCAACCCACUGUACCGCUACUACAAGUCAGGGUGGACGCAGUUCCGGCCACAAGUGGCCGAGCCUACAUUUGCAUCGGCGAUUCAGAUUGGUGACCCUGUAUUUGUCGACCGUGCGGUGGUCGCACUCAAGGCAACAAAUGGCAUCAUCGCGGAGGCCACAGAGGAGGAGCUCACGAACGCAAUGUCCCUCGCUGACCGCACUGGCAUGUUUGCGUGCCCGCACACUAGGGUCGCGCUCGCGGCGCUCUUCAAGCUCCGGGAAGAGGGCACCAUCGGGGCAAAUGACCGCACAGUGGUCGUCAGCAUGGCGCACGGCCUCAAGUUCUCCCAAUCCAAGAUAGACUACCAUGAUCAGAAGAUCGAGGACAUGGCCUGCAAGUACGCCAACCCGCCGGUCAGCAUGAAGGCCGACUUCAGCGCCGUCAUGGACGUCCUCAAGAAGAGGCUCAAGGGUAAGCUGUGAGCCUUCCCUCCUGCUGCUGCUGCUGCUGACCCCUCCGAUUGGCUACUGCGAUUCGAUUGUCUUAUGCAUCUGAUUCAAAUGUGAUUGGUUUGCUGUGUGGAGCAUUCGAAACCCUUGAUUUGAAAUCUUGUAGGUGAGUGAGACUCUUGUAGGCGUCUGCGGGGAAUGGUUAGGGGGUGGGGUUGAUUAUCUCUUGUACCGUGUUGUGUUCUAUGGAUAAUAAACGGUUGUGUUGUGUUGUUGUUCAUUGAAUAAUCAAUCAUUCAGUCUGUUUGCUCCAUGUUGCACUGGCUUGCUGGAAAUGUUCACUGCUUUAUGGACUGUCACUAGUAUUUGAUGUUUCUUCUGAAGGAGUCUGUGACUACUGAAACCUGAAGUUGGAUUCAGGUGCUAUAUGCAUAUCCUCGCAUUCCAGUUU